CAGAGGGAUAGGCCAGAGCCAGUGCUUCCAAGAUCUACCACCUCCAUGGGGAGAAGAGGCCAGGCACGACUUGGGUUUCAGGCUCCCCUGUCCCCGGCCUGUGGCACAGCCCACCUCACAUCCUGUUUCCCAAUCUGCUGCAACAGAAUGGGCCCAAGGAGCAAAGCCUGCUAUCCCCACCUCCCACACGGACACCAGAGCAUGCCGGCACCAGGGCCGGAGCCCCACACCAAGGAGCUCCCCGAGUCCAAGGACCCACUCCGGGCCUCAGCAGCUUGACUGUAGGGGUGGAGGCAGUGCUGGUCUGGCACUGGGCUGCCCUAGAGACUGCUCCCAGACUGCAGCAUCUGGGAAAUAGGUGGUGGAUGGCACAGAAUCCGAUGCGCACCCAGGUCCCACCAUUUGCUUUUGACCUUGAAGAACUCGCCUAAUCUUAACCUCAAUCUGAGAAAUGAGGUCACGAGAGAACCCACCUUGUUGGGUUACAAGAUUGAAAUGACAUCAUCCCUGUAACAUGCUUGGCUCAUACCUAGUUAAUAGGAAGUCCUCACCUGGGACAGAUUUCCUCCUAGAGUUGCAG
rnacentral:lncRNA from 1 species